GAAAUCUGCUCAACAAUAAAAGCAGUAAAAUAUCUUUACAAAUAUAUAUACAAAGGUCAUGACCGUGUUGCUUUUCAACUUGUCGCAAAUGAGAGCGAAACUUUAGUUGAUGAAAUCACCACAUUUCGAAAUGGUCGUUGGAUAUCUCCACCAGAAGCCGCAUGGCGUAUUUUCAAAUUUUCAUUAAAUGAUAUUUCGCCAGCUGUAAUAGCCCUCCAAUUGCACUUACCAAACAUGCAAUCAAUAAAUUUUCGACAACAUGAAAACCAAUACAACAUUUUAAAUUCAGAACAUGCCUCAAAAACAAUGCUUACAGAAUAUUUUGCAACAAAUAGUUCAAGCUCACAUGCUCGACAAUUGUUAUAUUGCGAAUUUCCUGAACAUUAUGUUUGGAACAAUCAAAGCAAACAUUGGAAACCUAGGAAAAAAUACAGAACAAUUGGUCGAAUUGUAGCAGCUAACCCUUUAGAAGGAGAGUGCUAUUUUUUACGAAUACUUCUAACACAUAUUAAAGGAGCUACGAGUUUCACAAACUUUUGUACCAUUAAUGGAAUAACAUAUAAUUCCAUUAGAGAAACCGCUGAAAAAUAUGGCCUACUUGAAAAAGAUAAUGCUACUGAAGAAUGCCUAACUGAAGCAAGCACUUUCCAAAUGCCAUUCGCUUUGCGCCGCUUGUUUGCCACGUUAUUAGUGUUCUGUGAGCUUAACAACCCAAGAACAUUAUGGGAUAAAUUUUAUGACAAUUUAUCAGAAGAUUAUAAGCAAAUGCCACAUCUAACAAAUGAUCAAAUACAAAGCCACACUCUUAACCACAUUGCCAAUUUCAUUGAAUCAAUGGGCAAAAAAAUUAGUGAUUAUGAUCUCCCAGCAUAUAACAAAGCUUAUAUUCCUAUAGAAAAAACAAGAUAUUGAAGCUGAACUAAACAUACCAAUAUCUGAUGAAGAUCUUGCCACCAUAAAUCUAUUAAACAAUGAACAGCGAAUAACAUAUAACAUCAUUAUGCAUCAUAUCACCGAAAAAAUUGGCGGAUGUUUCUUUAUUGAUGGCCCUAGUGGUACAGGAAAGACUUUCUUAUAUAAAGCACUACUGACUACAUUAUGAUCCAAAGGAUUAAUAACGCUAGCAACAAGUACUGGCAUUGCAACUUCUAACCUUCCAGGUGGCCGUACUGCCCAUUCUCUCUUUAAAAUCCCCCUAGAUGCAGACAAUUACUCUGGUUGUAAUGUCGGCAAACAAAGCUCUUUAGCCAUUCUUAUUCGAAAAGCAAAAUUGAUUAUUUGGGAUGAAGCAUCCAUGUCUAAAAAACAAAGUAUUGAAGCUUUUGAAAGUAUGCUUCGUGACAUAUGCUCUAAUGAAAAUCGUUUUGCUGACAAAGUUGUAGUUUUUGGUGGCGAUUUUCUCCAAGUCUUACCAGUUACUCCUCGAGCUACACAUGAAGAAUGCAUUAAUAAUAGUUUAGUGGAAUCAGUAUUGUGGCCGAAAUUUCAUAUUCUUCAUCUCACAAAAAAUAUGCAAGCCUUGCAUGACCCACAAUUUUGCGAAUUCCUUCUACAAGUAGGCAAUGGCAAUGAAACAAAUACAAAUGAGGAAAUUAUUACCAUACCUGAAGAUAUGCUUGCUACCAUUGAAGAUGAAACCAAUCUUACACAAAAUCUAAUAUAUUCAGUUUAUCCAAAUUUCAAAAAAAAAUGCUACCGACUCUACAUAUUUAACAUCACGUGCUAUUUUAACUCCAAAAAAUGAUUUGUCGAUGAAAUCAAUUCAAUUUUGAUCAAUAAAUUUCCAGGCGAGCUACACACAUAUACUAGCUUUGACAAGCAAACACAACACAAUCAACACAGUUGUCAACCAGAAUUCCUUCAUACCUUAACCCCAAAUGGGAUGCCACCUCAUGAAUUACAUUUAAAAGAACAUUGUCCAAUCAUGCUCCUUCGAAACAUAGAUCCAUCUGCUGGAAUGUGCAAUGGUAUCCGGCUCAUAUGCAAAGCUCUAAAAUCUAAUGUCAUCCACGCAGAAAUCGCAACAGGACAUUACAAAGGCCGUCCUGUUUUCAUUCCUAGAAUCCCACUCCAACUCGCAAAAACAGACAACUUCCCAUUCCCAUUCGAACGGAAACAAUUUCCAGUGCGAUCUUGUUUUGCAAUGACAAUUAACAAAUCUCAAGGACAAACAUUAGGCUAGCUACAAACAAAAUAUUAUUUUCUGCCCAUUUUUUUACUUCUUCAUUUAAGAAACGAAAUGAAUUAAAGGGGUUAGGCAUAUAUCUUCCUCAACCUGUUUUUUCACAUGGCCAAUUAUAUGUCGCACUUUCUCGAGCACAACGUAGUAGCAACGUAACUGUUCUAAUCAAAUCUCUUAACCAAAGAAUUCAUUCACAUAACCAAACAAGAAAUGUUGUGUACAAAGAUUUCCUUAAAAGAACAUUACAGGUAUACACAUUGCAUUGCACACAAAUAUGGCUCAAAAGAAAUUACUAAUUCAUUAUCUUUCUCCAUAAAAAAUGGCGAACAACAUCAUGACAAUAGACCAGUUGACAGAUCGUACAAGAACUUGGAAAGCUCAACUUCGUGUGGUAGAAAAGCAAGCACCACAUACUCCCAAAUCUGGCACAACUAUUCAACGACUCAUUCUAGCCGACACUAAGGGCUUCAGAAUCCAAGCAACUUGUUUUGGAGAUGACAUUGCGACAUUUGAUGCGCUAUUACAUGUGCAUAAAUCAUAUUACUUUUCAAAAGGUGUCAUCAGACGUAUUGAACCUCGACAUAGAAUUGUUGAUAACAACAUUCAGAUCAUGUGAAAUUCAAGAUUAUCAAUUGAGGAGAUCGAUGAGCCAAUUGAGAAACCAACUGAGGAACCAUAUAAUUUCACCAAAAUAUCAAGCACAUCAAGAUUUUUAGAGACAAACAUAUAUUUCGAUAUAGCUGCAAUUGUCAUACAUGCUCUACCAAGUCGAACUAUCACAAAGCGCAUGGAUGGAAGCUCAGCUCAAGUUCGAGAUCUACUACUCCUUGAUGACUCAUAAGUUCAUUACAACUUGCAUCCUAUCAAACUAUCAGCAUAGGAUGAAUUCACUAGCAAUGAAUGCGAGCAAAUUGCAUCAAAUAUUACACAGCAGCCAACUGUUAUCAUUACCAAGCUAAGAGCAACAAAAUUUAACGGCUGCUCCCUGUCAACUACUCCUACAACUAAUUUCAUUUUCAACAACAGCAUUCCAGAACUUCAUGCUCUACAAAUCUGGAAAGAAACUAGCCGAUUGAAGAUUGAAAAAAUUUGUGCUCACAAAGAAAUACUUCUUCCUUCCUCCAUAACACCAUCUUCUGAAAAUUUUGAAAUAGUUGAUAUCAAUAGUUUGCCAUCACAAUAGGUAUAUUCAGAAUGCAUUUCACAUUAUCGAAUAUUGAAAAUAAGUCUACGUGUCCCCCCAAAAAUUAGAUAUAUAUAUAUACAUAUACACAUGCUCAUACACAUAUACAUACACAUACACAUUAAAUUUACAACUAUUUUUAUGACAAAUAGGGCAAUGUUUGGAUCAAAGGCAAAAUCAGUGCGGAUCCGUUAACACAACGGUCUUGGUAUAUUGCUUGCAACAAAUGCAAUCGAAACACCAUCAACGACAUAAGAACAACAUUCAACUGCUUAGAAUGCAAUGCAGAUGCAUGCAUAACAACACCAAGAUGCAUCUUCAUAACAGAGAUAACGGACAACAGUGGCACUCUACAAGUCCCUAUAUUGGGCACCUAUGCAAAAAAACUAAUAGGCCAUUCCGCAGAAAAUUUAAGCCAACUUAGCACAAAGGCAAG